GACGUAGGGCGCGAGCGUUGUCCGGAUUUAUUGGGCGUAAAGAGCUCGUAGGCGGCUUGUCGCGUCGUCCGUGAAAACUUGGGGCUCAACCCCAAGCUUGCGGUCGAUACGGGCAGGCUAGAGUUCGGUAGGGGAGACUGGAAUUCCUGGUGUAGCGGUGAAAUGCGCAGAUAUCAGGAGGAACACCGGUGGCGAAGGCGGGCCUCUGGGCCGAUACUGACGCUGAGGAGCGAAAGCGUGGGGAGCGAACAGG
rnacentral:rRNA from 1 species